AACAUAGGGGGCAAGCGUUGUCCGGAAUCACUGGGCGUAAAGGGCGCGUAGGUGGUUUGUUAAGUCAGAUGUGAAAUGUAGGGGCUCAACCCCUAACGUGCAUCUGAUACUGGCAGACUUGAGUGCGGAAGAGGCAAGUGGAAUUCCUAGUGUAGCGGUGAAAUGCGUAGAUAUUAGGAGGAACACCAGUGGCGAAGGCGACUUGCUGGGCCGUAACUGACGCUGAGGCGCGAAAGCGUGGGGAGCAAACAGG
rnacentral:rRNA from 1 species